CACAAUUUCAGGAACAUGUGUGGACUUCUGUGCAGGUCUGGGAGAAAGUAUAAUGACUCAAACUGCCAGAAUCUGGGCCCGGCAAGUCCAAGAGUCAUGUUGAACUCAGUGCAUGAUGGGAAAUCUCCAGUAAGUUCCAUUGUGAGCGCGUCCCAGCAGUCCGCCUCUCAACUCUUUUGUACUAUAAAUAAUCAUCGUACAGGGAGAAAGCGACUGUUGUGUGUUCCUCUGCUGCAGCAGCCUGGAUGAAGACAACGUCUGGAAAAAUUGGGUCUGGACUUUCUGCAGAGUUUGUCGUUAACGCAUGACGAAAGCAGCGGGAGAUU